GAUGAACGCUGGCGGCGUGCCUAAUACAUGCAAGUCGAACGAACAGACGAUGAGCUUGCUCCUUUGACGUUAGCGGCGGACGGGUGAGUAACACGUGGAUCACCCACUUAUAUGACUGGGAUAAUUACGGGAAACCGGAGCUAAUACCGGAUAAUAUAUUGAACCGCAGGGUGCAUUAGAAAAUGACGGCUUUGGUGGCACUAAUAGCGGGUUCCGCGCCGGAUUAGGUAGUUGGUAGGGUAACGGGUUACCAAGGCGACGAGGCGUAGCCGACCUGAUAGGGUGAUCGGCCACACUGGAACUGAGACACGGUCCAGACUCCUACGGGAGGCAGCAGUCUGGAAUGGUCCGCAAUGGGCGGAAGCCUGACGCAGCAACGCCGCGUGUGUGAUGGAGGUCUUCGGAUCGUAAAGCUCUGUUAUUGGGGAAGAACAGCUGUGUAAGUAGCCGUAGACUUCUUGACGGUACCUAAUCAAAAAGCCCCGGCUAACUACGUG
rnacentral:rRNA from 1 species